rnacentral:rRNA from 1 species
UACCAGACUCCUACGGGAGGCAGCAGUGGGGAAUAUUGGACAAUGGGCGCAAGCCUGACCCAGCGACGCCGCGUGUAGGAAGACGGUCCUCUGGAUUGUAAACUACUGUCCCCAGGGACGAAGAUGACGGUACCUGGGGAGGAAGCUCCGGCUAACUACGUGCCAGCAGCCGCGGUAAUACGUAGGGAGCGAGCGUUGUCCGGAAUUACUGGGUGUAAAGGGAGCGUAGGCGGGGAUGCAAGUUGGGUGUUAAAUCUACCGGCUCAACUGGUAGUCGCACUCAAAACUGCAGCUCUUGAGUGAAGUAGAGGCAGGCGGAAUUCCUAGUGUAGCGGUGAAAUGCGUAGAUAUUAGGAGGAACACCAGUGGCGAAGGCGGCCUGCUGGGCUUUUACUGACGCUGAGGCUCGAAAGUGUGGGGAGCAAACAGGAUUAGAUACCCUUGUAC